rnacentral:lncRNA from 1 species
GAAGAAAUUGCGAUGCUACUGUUCUGACCGCCCCCAUAAACAUAUGGAAAACUGGGAAGGGAGAAGUGUGGGCAAUUAACAGGCACCUCACCUAGUCCCAGCAUUCCUUGUUUCUUCUUUUCCCCUACUUAAGACAAAAAACAACAAAACUAACUCAAACCAGAAGCAAACAGUUCCUCACUUUCUAGGGUGGCCUUGCAGAUAUAAAUACUGAGUUCAAAGUUGAGAAUUGCAAGAGACUGAUAAAGGGAUGAAGGCACAGAUGAACUGUAGCCACUCUCAUUCAUCACUCAGCUCAAGAGUGCUGCAUGUGUAAAAAGAUUGGCCUAGAAAGCUGGAGCUGAACCAUGACGAGAUGAUGUGCACUUUCCUUGAGAAAACUCCUGCAGAAGUCAGUGAUUUCUUGUUUGAACUAGGGCAUUAAUAUCAUCUUGGUAUGGUUUUCUAGCCGAUGGUCUUGAGUACAUCACUGUGGUGCAGACAUGUCCCAUACAGUUAAAAGAGAAAGCACACACCAUCCAAGUGUGGUUCAGAGAAACUAAGUGCCAGUGACUGAAUAGAUAACUUGCAUAUCUCCAUGAACUUAACUUCAACAGAUAAGACAGGAGGACACUUACAGGUGUAACAUGGGAGACACAGAAAGGCAGGUAUGAACCCAAGCUGUUCCCAAGCUGGAACCAAGCUGGAGAGUACCACUCUCCACUUGAGACUAACAAUCUUCUUAAAGCAGACUGGUUGAAAGAGGAUGAUGCUUCCUUUCCAGUUUAUUCUUCUGGUCACAAUAUUUCCUUGAGAAAUGGGAGAAAACAUACUCGAAAGCUUCCAUCAGACCAAGCUAGAGAUUCUGCAUCCCAAAUGGAUAUAUGUCCCAGGACUGUUAAUUCCAAGAGUGCUAUGACGGGGGAAGCAUAUACUUCUCUUAAUUUUGUUAUACUAAGGACCUACAUGAUUUCAGGCCAUCUCCAUAUGCCUCAAGCUUGAUCCUUGUACUGUUCCAUUAUUCAUUUUUUUUCUAUCUUCAGAGUGCCAAAUUAAAAUAAUUUCUCCAAUAAAUUAAAAUAAUUUCUUCA